CUUAGGCGUGUGACUGCGUACCUUUUGUAUAAUGGGUCAGCGACUUAUAUUCUGUAGCAAGGUUAACCGAAUAGGGGAGCCGAAGGGAAACCGAGUCUUAACUGGGCGUUAAGUUGCAGGGUAUAGACCCGAAACCCGGUGAUCUAGCCAUGGGCAGGUUGAAGGUUGGGUAACACUAACUGGAGGACCGAACCGACUAAUGUUGAAAAAUUAGCGGAUGACUUGUGGCUGGGGGUGAAAGGCCAAUCAAACCGGGAGAUAGCUGGUUCUCCCCGAAAGCUAUUUAGGUAGCGCCUCGUGAAUUCAUCUCCGGGGGUAGAGCACUGUUUCGGCAAGGGGGUCAUCCCGACUUACCAACCCGAUGCAAACUGCGAAUACCGGAGAAUGUUAUCACGGGAGACACACGGCGGGUGCUAACGUCCGUCGUGAAGAGGGAAACAACCCAGACCGCCAGCUAAGGUCCCAAAGUCAUGGUUAAGUGG
rnacentral:rRNA from 1 species